rnacentral:rRNA from 1 species
GAUGAACGCUGGCGGCGUGCCUAACACAUGCAAGUCGAGCGAACAGAUAAGGAGCUUGCUCCUUUGACGUACGCGGCGGACGUGUGAGUAAACCGUGGGUAACCUCCCUAUUAGCCUGGGUUAACUUCGGGAAUCCGGAGCUAAAACGGGAUAAAAUUUCGAACCGCAUUAUUCGAUCGUGUAAGAUGGUUUUGCUAUCACUUAUAGAUGGACCUGCGCUGUAGUCGCUAGUUCGUAAGGUAACGGCUUACCCAGACGACGAUAGGUAUCCGCCCUGAGAGGGUGAGCGGCCACACUGGAACGGAGAAACGGUCCGGACUCCUACGGGAGGCAGCAGUAGGGAAUCUUCCGCAAUGGGCGAAAUCCUGACGGAGCAACGCCGCGUGAGUGAUGAAGGUCGUCGGAUCGUAAAACUCUGUUAUUAGGGAAGAACAUACGUGUAAGUAACUGUGCACGUCUUGACGGUACCUAAUCAGAAAGCCACGGCUAACUACGUG